rnacentral:rRNA from 1 species
UACGGAGGGAGCUAGCGUUGUUCGGAAUUACUGGGCGUAAAGCGCGCGUAGGCGGCUUUGUAAGUUAGAGGUGAAAGCCCGGGGCUCAACCCCGGAAUUGCCUUUAAGACUGCAUCGCUAGAAUCCAGGAGAGGUGAGUGGAAUUCCGAGUGUAGAGGUGAAAUUCGUAGAUAUUAGGAAGAACACCAGUGGCGAAGGCGGGCUCACUGGUCCGGUACUGACGCUGAGGUGCGAAAGCGUGGGGAGCAAACAGGG